AGCUCUGGCGGGUCCUGUCCAGGCUCCUUGUGGGCGCCGGUCCCCCCCCCUUUCCAUGGGGAAAGGAAAUGUUCGUUCACGCCACAGAUCAAACAGCUUCCAAGUUCAAAAGUGAAACUUUAGAAGAAGACAGUUAACCAGUGGAACAGAUUGCCAGCAGUGUGGUGUGAAUUUUCCAUUACUCUCAGUCUAAAACAAGCAAGUUUCUCUAGAAAAAAUGCAGUGAGUGAGAAAGGUGGGAUACCAGAAGCUCAUGCAGCUGCACAACCCUGGGGAACACCUUAUAAAUUGGCUUCUGACCCCCAGCCAGCAAAGUGGGAAUUGCCCAGUGUUCGUGGGACCACUGACCUGCAGCUCCUGCCCGUGGCAUCAGGAGAGUGCCAAAAUCCCUACAGGGCCAAUGGCAAAGAACUGCAGAGAUGAAUUUCCACCUCUGGAAAAGCAAAAAACGGAGACCCAGCACAGGAGGCUCUGCCACGUACAAAGUCCACAGGGGUGGCCAGGCAGGUUUGUGUGUUUGCUGUUUGCUCCUGGGGAGCAGUUGUUUUCUCCACUGUGAUCCUUAAGUAAAGAUUGUUCGAGGGACUUUCAGCCAUACUAGAAAAUCAUUUCCCUAAAAUUUAAAAUUGGGAGGGGAAUAAAGUGACUCAGUAAGAGCUGCAGAACUCAGAACUUUUUUUUUUUUUUUCUUUUCCCCAAAGGGAGCUCUACCCUUGUUUAUAUACUUUGAUUUUCUAUAACUGCUAGAACCACUUUGGCAAAAAGUUCAGUAUUUUUUAUUUAGAUGUUGACAUGUGUUUUUUAUAUUCUUAAGUUUAGGGAAAUGGUGAAUUCCUUCUUUUGGAUUUUUUCAAAUGUUUAAGUUGUAACUGUUGGAAUCUGCUGGGUGUUUAAAAUGGAUCUGAGAAAGGAAGUAAGGCAUUAGUUUUAUUGGGAAAAAAAGAAAAAAUAUUUUGGAAGUUUCUUUAAACCAAUGUUUUCCUGACAUAAUAUAGAAGAAUGUAGUUAUAUUGAUUAUAGUGUUUGAAACUGUCUAAUAUAAAUGCCAAUUCAGCAAUAAUUGCUGCAGUGAAAUAUUUUGUAUUUAUUGUAUAAUAAAUGUUUCAUAGAAAUAACAUAAAAUAUUUAGAGAAAAUAAAAUAGGAUUAGAGGGAAUCUAUUGCAUGGCUAAAGGUUUUAUGUGGUGCUAAUAGUAUUUAAAAAAACAUUUUGUAUUAAAUAGACUGUACUUCAUUUGUAUUUGCCAUAGACUGUGAACAAAAUGGAUAUUUCUAAAGGCAGACUUUUAUCAUUGUCUGAGGAAACCUUUAGCUAGCACCAGUCAUAUUCCCUCUUGCAGUUAAUCAGAGUCUUAAUUAAACAAAGCUGAGCUGAAUAGGGAAGUCAGUGAGAUAAUUUUAGACCCUUAAUCCGUGGAUAUAAAAUCCUUAAUCCACGGAUAUAAAAUCAUUUUCUAAAAUUGGGAGCGAGCAUGUUAACAUGCUUUACGUGGAGGGGAACUGAGGCAGAGCAAGACUGCACAUUGCUUGGGGCUGUGCUGAGAAGGGAAGGCAGGGAGGUGCCCAGGAACCCGGACACAGCCUGGGUGACUCCGGGUGCCUGGGACCGGCACUGCUGCCCUGCCCAGCCUGCAAACCUGCUGGAGCCUCUGUGCCAGCAGGCGAGCAGCAGCCUUUGAGCAACUUGUUUUAAUUAUGUGAGGAGCAUGCUAGCUUUCCACAGUCGCCUUUUAAUCUUUUUUAUAUUCCUGUUCACACUCUGUCACAGAUCUGUGCUGCAUUUAAUUACUCCGGCUCAGCUCCGAGUGCAGGGGAUGAACACGGGGCUGGGAGGUGGCUCCUCGAUGCUGUGCAGACCCCACGCAGCCUUCAGGCCUUCUUUACCUCAGGCUUAGACAAAUACAAAGGUCUUUGGGUUGCUGAUCAUGGAAGAUCCUUGCAGAUCUAUAUUUUUGAGACAGAGCUGUCGUUUACAGUAAAUCAGACGGAUUUUCAGCCUGGACCCACUUUGCCCAGUUGUUGGGGCCUCAUCCAGUGAGAUUCCGGGGCUCCAGGCCUUGAGCUGCACGACCCUUUUCCUGUCACUGCUGCCUGAGGUUUGUGAGUGGCACUUGCUCCUGUCUGGGUCACAUGUGGGGCCCAUCAUGGUUUGGUUUCCCUAAAAAACAGGAGUCUCCAGCACAUUCCUCUGCCCCUGCCCCAGAGGAGCCCUGUCCACCUGGUACCAGCCCGGGAAUACGUCUGGAUUACUGGAAAUACUACAGACAGCAUUGUGAUAGCAGAGCUUCAUGCUUCAUCCAAAACCUCGUGGGUUUGGAUCUGUAAAUAAUCCUGGGGUCAGCAGAGGGAGCCCAAGGACACACAGUCUCGGUGUUGGAUUUUGGACCAGCUCAGUUUUCUGGGUGCUGAAGUGUUCUUGACAUAAACUCUCUGCCUUUGAGUGUUGCAAUAACUUAUUUUGAAGCCCCCAAACUGUGCAGCGGCUGUGUGGGGCCACCUGGGUUGUGCUGGAAGGAGGAGAGCUGAGAGGGAGAGCUGUUACUAGUAGAAAACCCUUCAGGAGGGGACUUUUUUCUUAAUAUUUUGAAUAAUGAGAUCAGCACAGAAAUCCAAGGUGUGCCCACACGAUCCUCUGGUGACGCCAGUUUGGCCAAGAGUCUGGGUAGGAGGCAGGAUUGGACUUGGAUAGAGAGAGGGGUUAAACAAAAGUCUGUGCAAAAUACUACUUUAGCUGGGAUUUGCUGUGGGGUCUUUGCAUCAGAAAGAUACUGAUAAUGGACAUUACAAAGAUUAUUGGUAUUCUUGUUGUCUAAUUCCAUUUUAUUACUUCUGAAUGAUCAGAUGUCGUUGCUCAGCCAUAAUGCCCAUCUGAUUUUUGAGGGGACAAAAGUUAUGAGACAAUCACUAUUCUCCCUGGCACUGCUCAAAACCAUUGAAUUCGCCGGGAAAAUUCUGGGAAAUUGAUAACAACGGCAACUUUUUUGAUCAUUGAAAUUCACGUUGAUUUUCAAGGUCUUGUUGAUGUGUUUGGUUUUUUUUAACUGCAAACGGAGCCCUGUAAGCCUGACCUCGAACAAGAGAUGGGCGUUUUCAGAGGCAGCAGAGAAGCAGGGUCCGGGCAGGACGUUUCCAUACCGUUAUUCCAGAGCCGGAGCUCCCUCUUGUGAGAAAGAGAAAUAGCAGAAAAGUCCAGGACUGUCAGCGUGCAGGGAAGGUGGUGUUCAAUAGGCAAGCGAUUUCCAGUAGCUUUUCCUGUAAAUCUGCACACACCUCCGUCUACUGGGACAAGAAAACAUGGGAUUUGAAGCUACGGUCUUGCAAAAUUUGGAAGUGGCACCGUAAUUUGUAACAGGUCACUGUAACUGUGAUCUGUCGCAGUUCUGAUGCUUGAUAAAAAUACAGAAGUGUUUCUCAAUGGAAAUAAUUCCCCUGUUCCCCCCUCCACCCCUCAGCCCAGUGAUUUUUGUCUCUGGCAAAAAGAGCCUGGCUUUGUCAGCUAAUAAAAAGCAGAAAAUAGAGGAAUCUGUCAGAAGUGAUAAAUACUGUUUGCAUUUUUGUGCUUGCUGUGCUCAGUGUCAGCCGUGAUGAAUUGGUGACUCUUCUGCCAUCCUCAGCAAGGAGCACCAGAGCUGGGCUUUCUCAUGUCUGUGCCAAGACCAUCUCCCUUUGGCAAGGGGGGUCUCCAGCCAUGCACUGGGUGCUCAGGGUGUAAUGGGAUACGUUAUCCCCUCGCCAGACGUGUGGAGGUGACUUCAGGUGUAUUUUAGCUUGGGAACAUUUAUGGAAAAUACUUGGUAUUUUGUGAGAUCUGGUGCACUUCAAAAGGAAAAAAAAAAGUGUUUCAGAAGUAUUUUUAUGAGCCCUGGGAUUAAGUUCUUUCUGGCAAGUGUGGCUUAGUGGCAGCCAAAGGGGUGACUGUCACCAGCAGCAGCACUGCCCCGACCCUGUGCGAGUUCAGCUGUGGGGCUGUGGCAGGGCCUGGGCAUUUGGGGGUCCUCCACCUACUGGGGUCAGACCCUGUCCAGUGCCUGCUGCCAAG